GCCGGGCGUGGUGGCUCACGCCUGUAAUCUCAGCACUUUGGGAGGCUGAGGCGGGUGGAUCACCUGAGGUCAGGAGUUUGAGACCAGCCUGACCAACAUGGAGAAACCCCGUCUCUA
rnacentral:SRP_RNA from 2 species